UAAAUGUAAAUGACUCAGCAUUUAAUUGUAAUUGAUAUUUAUGUUAAAAUAACUUUUGCUAACAUGAGCAGGAUCUGUCUCAGCGGUAAAUGCAUUAUAAAUGUUAAUGAGCCACAUUCAAAAACACCAAUAAGAUACAAGAACUCAAAUUUGGUGCGCAGACUCACACACUCAAUACAGGAAACCUUAAAUCAGACACGGGAUCCUGAAGAAUGAAAUCAAGUUGAAAAUCUUUCUGCACAUAUGUUGUGUAAUUUCUUAAGAACAAAAUUAGGUUAGUGGAAACGAAAAUCAUCGAACCUUUGAGUGCUGGAUUCAGAUUCAAAGACAAAAUUAAACAAAGUUAAAAUUGUUCAAGUGUGAACUUUUUUUUAAGCAGUGUUUAUAUAUAGAGAGAGAUACAGAAGCUGAAUUUAAAAAAUAUAACCACCUCAACAGAAGUUGUCGUACAAAAAACAGGAAAUAUGUGUUUUCCUGUGUGGUAUCAUUUUAAAGGACAGAGGCUGCAGAUCUCAGCAGAUGACACCGAAACACUCGAGAUGGAUCUCCUGAGUCAUUUUCGUUGUCAAGAACUUGGCACUUAUGCCACAGUGAUCGGGAUUUUUACUUACAUUGUUUUGCUUCAUAGGGACAUGCCAUGCACUUGCAAAGACCAAACAAAACAAUGCAAUGAAUACAUGGCUCUGCCAUUUGUUUUAGUGUUUUUUAUUAUGCUCUUCAUCGACAAGACAUUUCGGAGAACAACAAAACACGGUGCUACUUUUUUAUGCAUUGUAAUCAAGCGCACUAUCAAAGCUUCUUUAAUUGGUCUGCUGUGGGUUGUAGCUGUGUUCAUUGAUGGAGACUGGUAUGUUUGCUGUAAGAUUGAUGAAGUAAAGAAAAUGUUACCCUGCAAAAAAAAAGAAAACCUCACAUCUGAAGAAUUUGCUGAAAUCACUGAUCUAAAAAACACGUCACAGAUUAUUGGUUACUCUUUGCUCCUGGCUGUAAUUGUUGCAGCUUUUUUAACGUCAUGCGGAUGUGGAUGGAGAAAAUGCUGUGAAAAAAAGUUCAGCUGUUGCAGCAGGAAAACAUUAUAUUACAGAUUAAUUUUGGAAGAAGAGAAAAAAGCUCUGGAUGUGCUUUUGAGGAAAGCAGCAAAAGAGAAUUUAACUAAAGAAAUAAUGACCAAAAUAAAAAAGAACGACUGGGACGGCUGUUUUAAUGUUGCUCAGGAAAUGAUCAAUAAAGCAAAACAACAAAAGAUGGCAGCAAGAAACGAGGACAUCAGCAAGGAGAGCACAAAAACAGGGGAACCUGCUCAACAAGGGACGAGAUCAGCACAUCACGAGGUAAAGAGCUUUGUGUUAUUUACAUGCAGAAUGUUACUGCUGUCUGUCUGAGUUAUUAGCUUCUUCUGAGUCACCAUCAUUCCACCACAUCAGAGAAGAAAUUGUGUUAAAUAAGCAGUAACACAGAGAGAAAUCCUGUCACUUCCUUUUUCUAUGUGAAAGUUAACUUUUUUUGAUGAAGGUCUAAAAAUGUUUUGCAGGGACAAAAAUAUUGAACUUCAGUCAGUGACAGAAGACAGCAAACCACUAUUUGAUGAGUCGGACUGAAAAAAAAAGUGAUGCAACAAGAGAAACAAAGGAAGGAUGUAGACGCACAUCUGUUAUUGCCAUAAUCACGAAAAUAUAUUUUUUUGUAAAUUGAGUUUAUCAGACAGUAUAAAGUAUCUUAUCUUUGCUGUUUAUCAUGACAAAUUUUAAGAAAUGUUCUUUUCAUGCUUCAAAUUCUCUGUAGCCUCUUUCAGCUUUGACAUUAAUAAUAAAAUAAUCACUCAAACUCAA